rnacentral:rRNA from 1 species
CCCUUAGAUGUUCUGGGCCGCACGCGCGCUACACUGAUGCAUUCAACAAGCCUAGCCUUGACCGAGAGGUCCGGGUAAUCUUUGAAACUGCAUCGUGAUGGGGCUAGAUUAUUGCAAUUAUUAAUCUUCAACGAGGAAUGCCUAGUAAGCGUGAUUCAUCAAAUCGCGUUGAUUACGUCCCUGCCCUUUGUACACACCGCCCGUCGCUCCUACCGAUUGAAUGUGUUGGUGAGGAGCUCGGAUUGGCAGCAGUUGGUGGUUCGCCACCGGCUAUUGCUGAGAAGUCCUCCAAACCGCCCCAUUUAGAGGAAGGAGGAGUCGUAACA